rnacentral:rRNA from 1 species
GGGUCAGUAGGUUGGUCGUGCCACCGGUACGUACUGGUCUCACUGAUUCCUCCUUCCUGAAGAACCGUAAUGCCAUUAAUUUGGUGUUGCGGGGAGACAGGAUUGUUACUUUGAAAAAAUUAGAGUGUUUAAAGCAAGCUGACGCUUGAAUACAUUAGCAUGGAAUAAUGAAAUAGGACGAUCGAUCCUAUUUUGUUGGUUUCUAGGAUUGACGUA